rnacentral:rRNA from 1 species
GAUUGAACGCUGGCGGCAUGCCUUACACAUGCAAGUCGAACGGCAGCACGGGGGCAACCCUGGUGGCGAGUGGCGAACGGGUGAGUAAUACAUCGGAACGUGUCCUGUAGCGGGGGAUAACCUCUCGAAAGAGAGGCUAAUACCGCAUACGACCUGUGGGUGAAAGAGGGGGAUCGCAAGACCUCUCACUAUAGGAGCGGCCGAUGUCGGAUUAGCUAGUUGGUGGGGAAAAGCCCACCAAGGCUACGAUCCGUAGCUGGUCUGAGAGGACGACCAGCCACACUGGAACUGAGACACGGUCCAGACUCCUACGGGAGGCAGCAGUGGGGAAUUUUGGACAAUGGGCGCAAGCCUGAUCCAGCCAUGCCGCGUGGGUGAAGAAGGCCU